rfam:Jaapia argillacea MTCL 33604 unplaced genomic scaffold JAAARscaffold_18, whole genome shotgun sequence.
AAAGGAAUGGCCGAGCGGUUAAGGCGCUAGUCCCGGGUUUCCCGAUUACUAGUCCGAAAGGGCGUGGGUUCGAAUCCCAAUUCCAUCA